GGAUUAGGCAUGCAAGUCGAACGUGAUCCUUGCUUCGGUGAGGUGAAAGUGGCGAAAGGGUGAGUAACGCAUAGCUAACCUACCCCCGACUUUGGGAUAACCGGGAGAAAUCUUGGCUAAUACCAAAUAGGCUCGUCUGGUCGCAUGAUCGGACGAUUAAAAGAGGCCUCUUAACAAUGCUUCCGGUUGGGGACGGGACUAUGUCCUAUCAGCUAGAUGGUAGGGUAAUGGCCUACCAUGGCGAUGACGGGUAGCCGACCUGAGAGGGUGACCGGCCACACUGGGACUGAGAUACUGCCCAGACUCCUACGGGAGGCUGCAGUCGAGAAUCUUCCGCAAUGGGGGAAACCCUGACGGAGCGACGCCGCGUGCGGGAUGAAGGCCUUCGGGUUGUAAACCGCUGUCACAGGUUAUGAAAAGACUGGUGUUAACAGCGCCAGGCUUUGACAAGGGCCUGAGAGGAAGCCACGGCUAACUUCGUGCCAGCAGCCGCGGUAAUA
rnacentral:rRNA from 1 species